rfam:Cavia porcellus supercont2_162 genomic scaffold, whole genome shotgun sequence.
UGGCACCCAAUGUGGGGCAUCUGGCACGGAAGAUCCAAUGAGGGAGCCAUCCAGGGAUGUGUGCAUACAAAGGAAACUAAGAGUUCUGUGACCAACGCUAUGCAGGAGCCUGCCAUGCUGCCCAAGUCAUGGUAAGUGGACAGUGAUCCUUUCCCCUUUUUUUCCGGCAUGGGUCAAGCAUUAAGUGAUCAUAAACUUUUCGUGGGAGGCCUAAGUAAGGCGUUAAAGACAAGAAGAAUUAAGGCUAAAGAAAAAGAUUUAUUACAAUAUUUUCAAUUUAUUCAUUAGGUUUG